GAUGAAGAACGCAGCGAAAUGCGAUAAGUAAUGUGAAUUGCAGAAUUCAGUGAAUCAUCGAAUCUUUGAACGCACAUUGCGCCCGCCAGUAUUCUGGCGGGCAUGCCUGUUCGAGCGUCAUUUCAACCAUCAAGCCCCCGGCUUGUGUUGGGGACCUGCGGCUGCCGCAGGCCCUGAAAACCAGUGGCGGGCUCGCUGUCACACCGAGCGUAGUAGAUUUUCAUCUCGCUCAGGGCGUGCUGCGGGUUCCGGCCGUAAACAGCCUUAUUUACCCAAGGUUGACCUCGGAUCAGGUAGGAAGACCCGCUGAACUUAAGCAUAUCAAUAAGCGGAGGA
rnacentral:misc_RNA from 1 species